ACGAACGCUGGCGGCGUGCUUAACACAUGCAAGUCGAACGGAAAGGCCCUGCUUUUGUGGGGUGCUCGAGUGGCGAACGGGUGAGUAACACGUGAGUAACCUGCCCUUGACUUUGGGAUAACUUCAGGAAACUGGGGCUAAUACCGGAUAGGAGCUCCUGCUGCAUGGUGGGGGUUGGAAAGUUUCGGCGGUUGGGGAUGGGCUCGCGGCUUAUCAGCUUGUUGGUGGGGUAGUGGCUUACCAAGGCUUUGACGGGUAGCCGGCCUGAGAGGGUGACCGGCCACAUUGGGACUGAGAUACGGCCCAGACUCCUACGGGAGGCAGCAGUGGGGAAUAUUGCACAAUGGGCGGAAGCCUGAUGCGGCAACGCCGCGUGCGGGAUGACGGCCUUCGGGUUGUAAACCGCUUUCGCCUGUGACGAAGCGUGAGUGACGGUAAUGGGUAAAGAAGCACCGGCUAACUACGUG
rnacentral:rRNA from 1 species